rnacentral:lncRNA from 1 species
CUGGGGGCUCCUGGGGCUUAUGGUUCGAGGGUCUUAAAGGAUGCUGGACCCCAACAGUUGGCCUCCAGGGCUGAUGGCUUAGAAGACAUAGGCAAAUUAUAAAAUAUAAGCAGAGAUUUCUCUCUAGCUUCUAUAGGAUCAAUAGUACUUUUCUAAAGUGGCAGAGAACAUUGUGCGUUGAUGAAGAUGAUGAGGAGGAAUGGAGGGGACCUGGCAAGAGAGCAAGGUGUGGAGAAGGCGAGGGGGCCCUUGAUGGCACUCCAAGAGAACACGUGGUCACCAUCACCACAGGGCCUAGGAAAGGACGGUGCAACUCAAUGGGUGUCCAGCUGAUGCUCUUGGGCCCGCCCCCUGCAGCGCAGCUCUAGACAAGGAGGGGUGCGGCUGCAACUUCUAGGUUUUCUCUGCCACCGCGCCCAUCGAGAAGUGCCACCUGCUCCUAUCAGUACCAGAGCUGACCCUCAGGGCCUCCCACAGCAGACAGUUCCAGAUGUCCAGGCCGACUUCUGCCAGAGAGUGAGGACCAAAGGAUACCCAGACUCCUCCAAGAGGCAGACCCUAUGCUGUUGUCCUCCCACCCACAGCACAGAGUUUGCAGGUGACACAUUCCCAGUGGGUGCACCUCCCUGAGCUCCAGCCUUUCUGGGUGGAACCUGGUGAAUCCCCCACACCCAUCCACCCAGAGAAGGAUGGAUUCCAUUGCCUCCCUGAGCAAUGGGGCCCAGGCCCACACACCAUGGAGGAAACACCAUCUGCCCCCAACCCUCAGCCCAGGCCUGGCAGACAACAUCAACCCUCACAGGGGGAGAGCAUCACUGCCCCCAGCCCCCUCUCCAGAAAGAAGCUCCUCUUCCAAGGACACUGGGGGCUGGGGAGGAUCUUCAGACACCCAGGUCCUCUUCUGCCACUGUGCCUCUGCCUGCCGGCUGUGGCCUCCUUCUUGCCAG